UCUGUGCACUGCUACAGACAAACAGUGGCGGUAUUGAUAUGUAGAGCGGAGAAACCGGCCAGCGUUCAGCCCACGUAUCUGCGGAAGGGAAAGGAAGCCGUAUUUUGUGGCUGGUGGAGGGCUGUCAUGAGAAAAAGCACGCGAAGGAAACACAUCACUCAGGUUACACCGGUGCCGCUGAAGAAGGUGGGACGGAGAGUAAAAGAUACGCAAGGUGUCUGAGUAGCCUCCUCUGCCUGCUGCCAGCAUGUUUAAAAACAGCUUGAAGAUGCUGCUGAUGGGGGGCAAAAACAACAGGAAGAGCCGAAACAGCAGUGAUGACGGGAACGAGGAGACCAUAGACCUGCAGAGCGCCAGCUUGGAUCCCCUUCACAACUUCACUGGC